rnacentral:rRNA from 1 species
CCUACGGGCGGCAGCAGUGAGGCAUAUUGGUCAAUGGGCGCGAGCCUGCCCCAGCCAAGUAGCGUGAAGGAUGACUGCCCUACGGGUUGUAAACUUCUUUUAUAAAGGACUAACGUGAGGCUCGUGUGCCUUUUUGUAUGUCCUUUAUGAAUAAGGAUCGGCUACCUCCGUGCCAGCAGCCGCGGUAAUACGGAGGAUCCGAGCGUUAUCCGGAUUUAUUGGGUUUAAAGGGAGCGUAGAUGGGUUGUUAAGUCAGUUGGGAAAGUUUGCGUCUUAACCCUAAAAUUGCAAUUGAUACUGGCAGCCUUGAGUAAAGGAGAGGUAGGCGGAAUUCGUAGUGUAGCGGUGAAAUGCUUAGAUAUCACGAAGAACUCCAAUGGCGAAGGCAGCCUACUAAACAUCCACUGACAUUGAGGCGCGAAAGUGUGGGGAGCAAACAGGAUUAGAUACCCGAGUAGUC